rnacentral:rRNA from 1 species
GAUGAACGCUAGCGGCAGGCUUAACACAUGCAAGUCGAGGGGCAGCACGUCUUCGGAUGGUGGCGACCGGCGCACGGGUGCGUAACGCGUAUAGAACCUACCUUUUACAGGGGAAUAGCCCAGAGAAAUUUGGAUUAAUGCCCCAUAGUAUUAUUGAAUGGCAUCAUUUAAUAAUUAAACAUUUAUGGGUAAAAGAUGGCUAUGCGUUCUAUUAGCUAGUAGGUAAGGUAACGGCUUACCUAGGCAACGAUAGAUAGGGGUCCUGAGAGGGAGAUCCCCCACACUGGUACUGAGACACGGACCAGACUCCUACGGGAGGCAGCAGUGAGGAAUAUUGGACAAUGGGCGAGAGCCUGAUCCAGCCAUGCCGCGUGCAGGAAGACGGUCCUAUGGAUUGUAAACUGCUUUUAUACAGGAAGAAACACUCGGACGUGUCCGAGCUUGACGGUACUGUAUGAAUAAGCACCGGCUAACUCCGUGCCAGCAGCCGCGGUAA